UACGUAGGCAGCAAGCGUUGUUCGGAGUUACUGGGCGUAAAGGGUGUGUAGGCGGUCUUCUAAGUUUGGUGUGAAAUCCCUCGGCUUAACCGGGGAACUGCGUCUGAUACUGGAUGGCUUGAGUUUGGGAGAGGGAUGCGGAAUUCCAGGUGUAGCGGUGAAAUGCGUAGAUAUCUGGAGGAACACCGGUGGCGAAGGCGGCAUCCUGGACCAACACUGACGCUGAUGAGCGAAAGCCAGGGGAGCAAACGGG
rnacentral:rRNA from 1 species